CAGUAGCCGCGGGAAUACGAGGGGGGCAAGCGUUGUUCGGAAUUAUUGGGCGUAAAGGGUGCGUAGGCGGUUUGACAAGUCUUGUGUGAAAUCUCUGGGCUCAACCCAGAGUCUGCACGGGAAACUGUCGGGCUAGAGGAUGGGAGAGGUGAGUGGAAUUUCCGGUGUAGCGGUGAAAUGCGUAGAUAUCGGAAGGAACACCUGUGGCGAAAGCGGCUCACUGGACCAUUUCUGACGCUGAUGCACGAGAGCUAGGGGAGCAAACAGGAUUAGAUACCCCGGUAGUCCCUGUCUCUUAUAA
rnacentral:rRNA from 1 species